UACAGAGGUCUCAAGCGUUGGUCGGAAUCACUGGGCGUAAAGCGUGCGUAGGCUGUUUCGUAAGUCGUGUGUGAAAGGCGCGGGCUCAACCCGCGGACGGCACAUGAUACUGCGAGACUAGAGUAAUGGAGGGGGAACCGGAAUUCUCGGUGUAGCAGUGAAAUGCGUAGAUAUCGAGAGGAACACUCGUGGCGAAGGCGGGUUCCUGGACAUUAACUGACGCUGAGGCACGAAGGCCAGGGGAGCGAAAGGG
rnacentral:rRNA from 1 species